AGUGAACGCUGGCGGUAGGCCUAACACAUGCAAGUCGAACGGCAGCACAGUAAGAGCUUGCUCUUACGGGUGGCGAGUGGCGGACGGGUGAGGAAUACAUCGGAAUCUACUUUUUCGUGGGGGAUAACGUAGGGAAACUUACGCUAAUACCGCAUACGACCUACGGGUGAAAGCAGGGGAUCUUCGGACCUUGCGCGAUUGAAUGAGCCGAUGUCGGAUUAGCUAGUUGGCGGGGUAAAGGCCCACCAAGGCGACGAUCCGUAGCUGGUCUGAGAGGAUGAUCAGCCACACUGGAACUGAGACACGGUACAGACUCCGACGGGAGGCAGCAGUGGGGAAUAUUGGACAAUGGGCGCAAGCCUGAUCCAGCCAUACCGCGUGGGUGAAGAAGGCCUUCGGGUUGUAAAGCCCUUUUGUUGGGAAAGAAAAGCAGCAGGUUAAUACCCCGCUGUUCUGACGGUACCCAAAGAAUAAGCACCGGCUAACUUCGUG
rnacentral:rRNA from 1 species